AUGCGACGGACCCGGCCCGAACCCACGGAUCGAUCGCACUCGGAAGGAAUGCCGGCGCCGGCGCAGGCUCCGUCUGCCGCCGCCGCCGGCGGCGCGGCGUGGCGCCACCUGCUCCUCCUCCUGACCGCCCUCCCGCUCGCGCUCGCCCUCCUCGCGUUCGCGCUCCAGUGGCGCGGCGGCGGCGUGGACGACGCCGGCUCCCGCUGGCCCGCUCGCCUGGCCGUGCCGGCCCCGUCGAGGCUGCAGUCCCUCCACUCCUCCGCCGCAUCCUGCGUCGAGGUGCUCGCCGCCUCCGCCGCCCCCGCCUUCCCCUACCUCCGCGGCUGGUCCUUCCACUUCGACGCGCCGGACACCCACCACCCCAAGGUGUGCGUGCAGACGAGCACCUCCGCCGGCCUGGACCAGAUCCUGCCGUGGCUCUUCUACCACAAGGUCGUCGGCGUCGCGCACUUUUUGCUCUUCGUCGAGGGAAAGGCCGCCAAGCCCAGCGUCGCCGGCGUCCUCGAGUCCAUCCCCGGGGUGAAGGUGGUGUACAGAACCAAGGAACUUGAGGAGCAGCAGGCCCGGAGCCGCAUCUGGGACGAAACCUGGCUAUCAGGAUUCUUCUACAAACCCUGCAACUACGAACUGUUUGUGAAACAAUCGCUCAACAUGGAAAUGGCUAUCGUAAUGGCCCGGGAAUCUGGCAUGGACUGGAUAAUGCAUCUAGACACCGAUGAGUUGCUAUAUCCCGGUGGAGCUUCCGAGUAUUCCAUCAGACGCCUGUUAGCCGACGUCCCCGAGGAUGUUGACAUGGUUAUCUUUCCUAACUAUGAAAGCAGCGUCGAGCGUGAUGAUAUAAAAGACCCAUUCAGUGAGGUGUCUAUGUUCAAGAAGAAUUAUGAUCAUCUCCCCAAAGAUACUUACUUUGGCAUGUACAAGGAAGCAACAAGAGGCAAUCCUAACUAUUUCAUUACUUAUGGGAAUGGAAAAUCUGCUGCGCGAAUUCAAGAUCAUCUCCGGCCAAAUGGUGCACACAGAUGGCAUAACUACGCAAAGAGCCCAAAUGAGAUCAAGCUGGAAGAGGCUGCAGUUCUGCACUAUACAUACACCAAAUUUUCAGACUUAACAUCUAGACGUGAUCGCUGUGGAUGCAAGCCUACAAAAGAAGAUGUUAAAAGAUGUUUCAUGUUGGAUUUUGACAGAGCAGCUUUUAUAAUUGCAUCAACUGCUAGUGAAGAGGAUAUGCUUCGCUGGUACAACGAACGUGUCGUGUGGAACGAUAAGCAGCUCAAUCUGAAGCUUCUGCGAAAAGGAGUGUUAACUCGCAUCUAUGCCCCAAUGGCGAUCGUGCAAGGCCUGCGGGAGUAUGGCGUCUUCACCUCUGUCAUUGCAGCAGCCGUGGACAAUGCUAAAGUUCGACUGAAGGAAAGCGUUGACAGAAACAGCACCGAUCCUGACCAUGAAGAUGGACCUAGGACAUUCGUCGCAGCUAACGCUCGGAAGAUCUUGAACGUCGUCGAGCCCGCCCCUGCCUACAGGGAUGGCGGCGGUGCAUCCGCCGCUGUUCCCCCUUCGUCGCCCCCGGGUUUGGAUGACGCACGAGGGGAGGGGCUGGCUAGGUGGUGA
rnacentral:rRNA from 1 species